ACAGAUAAUCAGGGCUGGAGCUAAGUCUCAGUAGCGCUGUGCAUUAUCCUGGUCAUAUACUGGAAGUUUUGUUUAUCCAACUUGGUUGCUCUUGAAGCUGGUGAGAGCCCUGCCAGGAUGUGGAGUGGACUUCCUAGCAGAGAUGGAUCCUGUGCAAAAAGCGGUUAUUAACCAUACAUUUGGAGUAUCCAUUCCCCCAAAGAAGAAACAAGUUAUUUCUUGUAAUGUCUGUCAGCUUCGCUUUAAUUCAGAUAGCCAGGCCGAGGCCCACUACAAAGGAAGUAAACAUGCCAAGAAGGUCAAAGCACUAGAGGCAACGAAAAAUAAACCCAAAAUGGUUCCUUCCAAGGACAGCGCAAAGGCUAAUCCCAGCUGCUCCAUCACUCCAAUCACAGGCAACAACUCUGACAAAUCAGAAGAUAAAGGGAAGUCAAAAGCCAGCAGUUCCAGUCAGCCAUCAAGUUCUGAAAGUGGCUCAUUUCUCCUCAAAUCUGGCACAACACCCCUACCACCUGGAGCAGCCACUUCUCCCUCCAAGAGCACAAAUGGAGCU
rnacentral:sRNA from 1 species